UACGUAGGCAGCGAGCGUUGUUCGGAGUUACUGGGCGUAAAGGGUGUGUAGGCGGUUGUUUAAGUUUGGUGUGAAAUCUCCCGGCUCAACUGGGAGGGUGCGCCGAAUACUGAAUGACUAGAGUGCGGGAGAGGUGAGUGGAAUUCCUGGUGUAGCGGUGAAAUGCGUAGAUAUCAGUAGGAACACCGGUGGUGUAGACGGCUCACUGGACCGUAACUGACGCUGAGACACGAAAGCGCUGGGUAGCAAACAGG
rnacentral:rRNA from 1 species